ensembl:lncRNA
CUCCACCCAGCUCUCACACUGUGUACUAUGAGCUAAUUAGCAUGUUAGCUACCUCUCCACCCAGCUCUCACACUGUGUACUAUGAGCUAGUUAGCAUGUUAGCUACCUCUCCACCCAGAUCUCACACUGUGUACUAUUGACUAUGAGCUAGUUAGCAUGUUAGCUACCUCUCCACCCAGCUCUCACACUGUGUACUAUUGACUAUGAGCUAGUUAGCAUGUUAGCUACCUCUCCACCCAGCUCUUGUAGUUGGGGAUGUCCUUGGCGUAGAGCAGCUUGUUGGACGGGGAGUCUUUGCCGAGCCGGUGUUCGGAAGUGGAGCAGGAGUCCAUGAAGGUCUGGGCGACCACCGACAGACAGGCGUCAGUGAUGCUGCUCUUGUGGAUGUCAAACACAAACUGAGGAUUCUUAAUGACGUUCACCCAGAACCUGAGAGGAAGGCUGCGCACGCACAGAGAAUAAACGUAUUUAGUAAAUCUGCUUUUCUCCAGGUCUCGUUAGAAUCAUCACUCUCUUUUGAGUUUCUUCACCAGUUGCUCUUCCAAGUGUGUCGGACAUCCGGGUCGCUGAUCUGUCGCUUGUCGGCCUGCUCAUCCAGGAAGUCAAACAUGUACUUGAUAGCCAAUGGGAGAGCAGAGCCCCGGUGGGCGGUGCUGAACACCGUCUCAAACAGGUCGUCCACAAACUUCUGCAGCGUCCCCUGGUGCGUCAGGACCAAAGCAAGUUUAUUAUCCCACCACAAUUUAAAGGACUAAAUCAUCACAAAAUAUAUAUAUCACUCUAUGAAGAAACUAGCUACCUCUCCAAGCAGCUUUUAAAUGAGCACAGAUUAUUAGCUGUUAGCAUGUUAGCUGGUUACCUUGGUAGCCAGCAGCCUGGUCAGGUAGAUCUCAGAAACCAUCUUGCUGCCUCGGUCUCCUUCUCUCUGGUCGCUGUGCUCGUGGUUCUUCACCAGGUGCCACAGUUUAGUGCCUGGAAGCGCACAACAGGUGUAGAAUGAAGUACACGCAGUACAUAGAGUACACAAUAAUACUCAACACCACGACCACUACAGCAGUAGCUACAUUGUCUUUGUCACGUAAACAUACGGCAUGUGACAUCAGCAUGUGAUUGACUUCUACUACAACUACUAGAAGUACUAAUACUACUGAUACUUCUACCACCACUAGUACUACAGUACCCGUCUCCUGGUCCGGGGUGAUCAUAGGAGCUCUGGAUCGCAGACUAUCAGGACUGCUGGACGUUCUAAGUAACGACUCUGAAGACAAGAAGAAACAAAUGUUACCUGACAGAAAGUGUGUAGUGUACCGUGUGUAUAAGUGUGUAGUGUACUGUGUGUAUUAUGAAUGUGUACUGUGUGUGUGUGUGAGUACCGUAUCUGCUCAGAGAUCUGGUGAAGGUGAAAGAGUUGGCAAUGUUGUAGGCAGAAACCUGCUUCUGGACCAGCGCCACCAGAGAGCCGUCCGUUACCUAGCAACACACGGAGACAUCUGUCACUCAGCUGAUCCAGCAUCAGAUCUUCAUUCCCCCACAGUGCCGGUUCCUCCGGUUCCUCUGGUUCUUUUACCUGUGUGUGUAUUAGUGUGUACCUGGUAGUGUGUGUACCUGUGUGUGUGUGUAUUAGUGUGUACCUGGUAGUGUGUGUACCUGUGUGGGUGUUUAUUAGUGUGUACCUGGUAGUGUGUGUACCUGUGUGUGUGUGUAUUAGUGUGUACCUGGUAGUGUGUGUACCUGUGUGUGUGUGUAUUAGUGUGUACCUGGUAGUGUGUGUACCUGUGUGUGUGUGUGUGUAUUAGUGUGUACCUGGGAGUGUGUGUAUCUGUGUGUGUGUGUAUUAGUGUGUACCUGAUAGUGUGUGUACCUGUGUGUGUGUAUUAGUGUGUACCUGGUAGUGUGUGUACGUGUAUGUGUGUAUUAGUGUGUACCUGGUAGUGUGUGUACCUGUGUGUGUGUGUAUUAGUGUGUACCUGGUAGUGUGUGUACCGUUGUGUGUGUGUGUAUUAGUGUGUACCUGGUAGUGUGUGUACCUGUGUG